rnacentral:tRNA from 1 species
GGUUCCAUGGUGGUAACGGUUUAGCACUCUGGACUCUGAAUCCAGCGAAUCCGAGUUCGAAUCUCGGUGGAACCU